rnacentral:rRNA from 1 species
UACGGGGGGAGCAAGCGUUGUUCGGAUUUACUGGGCGUAAAGGGCGCGUAGGCGGUCGUGACAAGUCACUUGUGAAAUCUCCGGGCUUAACUCGGAACGGUCAAGUGAUACUGUCGGACUAGAGUACAGAAGGGGCAACUGGAAUUCUCGGUGUAGCGGUGAAAUGCGUAGAUAUCGAGAGGAACACCUGCGGCGAAGGCAGCUCUCUGGGACGGUACUGACGCUGAGACGCGAAAGCGUGGGGAGCGAACAGG